rnacentral:rRNA from 1 species
UACGUAGGGUGCGAGCGUUAAUCGGAAUUACUGGGCGUAAAGCGUGCGCAGGCGGUCCGUUGUGUCUGCUGUGAAAGCCCCGGGCUCAACCUGGGAAUGGCAGUGGAAACUGGCGAGCUGGAGUGUGGCAGAGGGGGGUGGAAUUCCGCGUGUAGCAGUGAAAUGCGUAGAGAUGCGGAGGAACACCGAUGGCGAAGGCAGCCCCCUGGGCUGACACUGACGCUCAGGCACGAAAGCGUGGGGAGCAAACAGG